rnacentral:tRNA from 1 species
UGUUCCGUAGCCCAGUGGUGUGGUCUUUGAGCUGGUACUCGAGAGGUGCAGGGUUCGAGUCCCUGGUGGUGCAA